rnacentral:rRNA from 1 species
GACGAACGCUGGCGGCGUGCUUAACACAUGCAAGUCGAGCGGUAAGGCCCUUUCGGGGGUACACGAGCGGCGAACGGGUGAGUAACACGUGGGUGACCUGCCCUCAGCUCUGGGAUAAGCCUGGGAAACCGGGUCGUAAUACUGGAUAUGACUCCAUGACGCAUGUUGUGGGGUGGAAAGCCUUGUGCGGCUGAGGAUGGGCCCGCGGCCUAUCAGCUUGUUGGUGGGGUGAUGGCCUACCAAGGCGACGACGGGUAGCCGGCCUGAGAGGCGACCGGCCACACUGGGACUGAGACACGGCCCAGACUCC